CUGAGGUCGAUCCCCUGUCAGGGGGUUACCCGAUCUAUGUCAUCAGCACUCUCCGUGGGGCCCACGUGGCCCCGCGGCGAGGGAUUCCUUUCGGCGGAGGGUCUGCGGCAUGGCCCGCUGGGGAGAGAUCCCCUGCGGCCCGUACCGCUGGCCGCCGUCGGCCCCACAAUUCGUCCAACAUGAAGUUUGUGACCUAUAGAAAAUAUACA
rnacentral:misc_RNA from 1 species